CCCUCUCUUCCCCUCACCCUUCUAGAUCUGCAUCGGAAUGCAGUGCAAAGUUGUUGCUGGUUUUUUUUUUAAGUUUUGAAUUCCUCAAUGAUUUUUUCCCCCUCUGCUUCUAGAAAGGCGGCUUAGGAUAAUUAUUUCAGCUUUAUUGAGGGCAGAUUAGGAGAAGUCUGGAUGCUGCGUUUCAAUACGCGUUCUACAUGCCUGGACAAUGUCC
rnacentral:lncRNA from 1 species